rnacentral:sRNA from 1 species
UUAUUAUUAAACUACUUUGAAGCCUAAAAAUUUUUUUAAAUGUUUAUUUAUAAAUUUUGCUACAAUGUAAUUUCUACAUUACUUUAAUGUCAUAAGAAAAAUUAGAUGUAUAGGUAAUGUAAUUUUUCUCCUAUUUCCCUAUAGCAAGUACAGAUGAAGCUCAGGUUCCCCAAGGAAAUAUUGACCAGGUUGCUGUUGUGGCCAUCAAUGUUCUGUUUUUUGUGGCUCUAUUUAUCUUUGCCCUUUUUGAAACCAUCAUUACUCCAUUAACAAUGGAUAUGUAUGCCUGGACUCAAGAACAAGCUGUGUUAUAUAAUGGCAUAAUACUUGCUGCUCUUGGGGUUGAAGCUGUUGUUAUUUUCUUAGGAGUUAAGUUGCUUUCCAAAAAGUAAGUUAAG